rnacentral:misc_RNA from 1 species
AAACCUUUUUGUCAUUUCAUCUCGUGAAAUCCUACAACAAUAACUAUAACUCAGUUCCAAAUAAGUAGAAUUUCAUUUUCACCUUAUUUACUAAAUUCAUGAUAAUGAUUAGACAAACCUUUAAGUAAUAAAGCAAGAUUGCCACUCUUUGGAAAUUCAUCAUCACAAGUCUCAAAGACAACAAGGCUAUUUGCAGAAGAAUGAUGGUUGGACUGGUUCCCUUUGUAUAAACGAGACGAGACCGAUCAGUCGUCUAAUUUUUCAGCAUCACUCCACCAAAAGCUAACUGAAAAGCUUGUCGUGAGAGAGCGGACGUAGUGCCACCAUUUAGGGGGGAUGUAAAGCAUUUCACCUUCCUCUAAAAUACAGUCCUGGAAUUCGAGGUCUAAUAUAUUUGGGAACUCUUUCUCGUCAAUGUUGUCUAGAUCAACCUGGCUGGAAUUACUAAGCAUGGUUUCACUAUGUGGGUGAAGCUCAUCCGAAAGUGAUGCAGAGUAAAGCCGUACAUACUUUUUGCCAACAACCUGAGCAAGUAUGUUAUGGUGCGGAUCAUGAUGCAAAGGCGUCACAGUCCCGGCUGGACCAAACCAAGCAUUAAGCGACCUAAUUUCCCCACCUCCAGUAAAACAAUAAUCAGGAAUAACAAUAUCUUGUUGUAGCUCUUGUAUCUGAUCAAAUAAUUGAUGCUGAGCUAAGUACGUAGUUUCCACAGAGGUAGUAUCAUUGGACCGUAUCCUCUCAAGAAAUUCAGAAAAAGUGAUCAGCUCUUGCUUCCAUUCUGGGCACAAAUAGUUCUUUCCGACCUCAACCGGGACUGUACGGAAGCCAGCAACCCUUCUAAGAUAAUUCAUGUCAUUCCAUGGAUCACUGGCCUGCUAAGAGUAGG